AAGGAAUCAAAAUUCUAGGGAUUAAUUCAAUCAUUAUGGAGCCCAACAACAACCAAGGCCUUAUACAAGUUGUUUCACAACAAAUUCAGAAUUUCAUUUCAAGUCAUGGGCCUAUCUCCUCUAUUGAAAAUCACAAAAGACCAUUUUGGUUCACAAAAAGAGGUUCAAAAAUACAAAUGGAUGUCGCAUUUCUAGCUUAA